UUUAUGAAAAAAGUAGUAAGCUAUGAUUCAUCGAAUUUACCACCCUGCAAACGUGAACUACAUCAACAAUUAUUGAGAACUGCCUACAUUACAAAUAUAUGGCGAAAUUGUAAUUUAAAAGAACCAACAAUUCUUACACCUGAAAAUAACGGUUGGAACUUAAUUGAUAGUCGUUACGAAUUUAAUUGGUUUGAGGGGAAUACGGUUCCAUCUUCUAUAUACCUACGACAUACUUUUACAAGGACCUGCUGAUACUGCCACAGCACAAUCGACUGAAACUGAGGAAUGCAUUUCAGAUGAGGAAAACAUUGUUGAAGAAUCAGAUGAUGAUGAAAACAGUGAUAGCGAAAUUUCGGAUGAUGCUGAAGAAAAUGAAUGUUAAAAAUAAUGUAGAUUGCAUAAAACCCAAUAAAAUACAUUGCAUUUAC